rnacentral:rRNA from 1 species
AGUCACUGACAUUAGAUACCCGGUAGUCCAGGGUGUAAACGCUGCAGACUUGGUGUUGGGGCCCUUUGGGGGCAUUCAGUGCCGGAGAGAAGUUGUUAAGUCUGCUACUUGGGAGUACGUCCGCAAGGAUGAAACUUAAAGGAAUUGGCGGGGGAGCACCGCAACGGGAGGAGCGUGCGGUUUAAUUGGAUUCAACACCGUAAAACUCACCAGGGAAGACUGUUACAUGAAGGCCGAGAUGAAGACUCUGCUAGAUUUUCAG